UCCAGACUCCUACGGGAGGCAGCAGUGGGGGAUAUUGGACAAUGGGGGGAACCCUGAUCCAGCGACGCCGCGUGAGUGAAGAAGUAUCUCGGUAUGUAAAGCUCUCUCAGCAGGGAAGAAAGAAAUGACGGUACCUGAGUAAGAAGCCCCGGCUAACUACGUGCCAGCAGCCGCGGUAAUACGUAGGGGGCAAGCGUUAUCCGGAUUCACUGGGCGUAAAGGGAGCGCAGGCGGCGCGGCAAGUCAGAUGUGAAAGCCCGGGGCUCAACCCCGGGACUGCAUUUGAAACUGCCGUGCUGGAGUGUCGGAGAGGCAAGUGGAAUUCCUAGUGUAGCGGUGAAAUGCGUAGAUAUUAGGAGGAACACCAGUGGCGAAGGCGGCUUGCUGGACGAUAACUGACGCUGAGGCUCGAAAGCGUGGGGAGCAAACAGGAUUAGAUACCCCGGUA
rnacentral:rRNA from 1 species